UCCAAACACCUCUGGUGGGUUUCACUU
rnacentral:piRNA from 1 species